rnacentral:lncRNA from 1 species
UCUUAAUAAUCAUAACAACUAAUUAUGGCAUCUUAUCAUAUCUCUAAGAUAUGAAGCAGAAUCAUAUAAUAUGAUUAUAACUAAAUAUCUCAAGCAUAUCAUAUAUGUAUAAAGUUCUAAUAAUAUGUAUGAAUAUAAAACUCUUUUUUCAUAGUUCUUCUUCUUGAAACAUCACAGUGGCACCCCUACACGCCAUAAGAGUACCCUAUUGAAUAGGAAGAGAGGGUCUCUGAACCCUACUUGCUCUUA